GCCCUCGUAGCUCAGCCUGGUGGAGCGCCUGCUUGGUAAGCAGGAGGUCCCGGGUUCAGAUCCCGGCGAGGGCU
rnacentral:tRNA from 1 species